GACGUAGGGCGCGAGCGUUGUCCGGAUUUAUUGGGCGUAAAGAGCUCGUAGGCGGCUUGUCGCGUCGUCCGUGAAAACUUGGGGCUCAACCCCAAGCUUGCGGUCGAUACGGGCAGGCUAGAGUUCGGUAGGGGAGACUGGAAUUCCUGGUGUAGCGGUGAAAUGCGCAGAUAUCAGGAGGAACACCAGCGGCGAAGGCGGGUUGCUAGGCUGACACUGACGCUCAGGCACGAAAGCGUGGGGAGCAAACAGG
rnacentral:rRNA from 1 species